CACGGGGGGAGCAAGCGUUGUUCGGAUUUACUGGGCGUAAAGGGCGCGUAGGCGGUCAGUGCAAGUCAGUUGUGAAAUCUCCGGGCUUAACUCGGAAAGGUCAACUGAUACUGCUCGACUAGAGUGCGGAAGGGGCAACUGGAAUUCUUGGUGUAGCGGUGAAAUGCGUAGAUAUUCGGAAGAACACCAGUGGCGAAGGCGGCUCACUGGUCCGGUACUGACGCUGAGGUGCGAAAGCGUGGGGAGCAAACAGG
rnacentral:rRNA from 1 species